rnacentral:rRNA from 1 species
UACGGAGGGCGCAAGCGUUGUUCGGAAUCACUGGGCGUAAAGCGCGUGUAGGCGGCCGGGCAAGUCGGAUGUGAAAUCCCGAGGCUCAACCUCGGAACUGCAUUCGAAACUGCUCGGCUCGAGUCCCGGGGAGGAUGGCGGAAAUCCCGGUGUAGGGGUGAAAUCCGUAGAUAUCGGGAGGAACACCAGCGGCGAAGGCGGGCAUCUGGACGGUGACUGACGCUGAGGCGGGGAAGCGUGGGGAGCAAACAGG